rfam:Otolemur garnettii contig133357, whole genome shotgun sequence.
GUGCUCACUUCAGCAGCACAUACAUAAUGUUGGAAUGCUACAGAGAAGAUUAGCAUGGCUCCUGUGCAAGGAUGGCAGAAUAACCGGAGGCCUGCCCCCAGCUCCC